rnacentral:tRNA from 1 species
GCUUUGAUAGCUCAGUUGGGAGAGCGUCAGACUGAAGAUCUGAAGGUCCCUGGUUCGAUCCCGGGUCAAAAGCA